GAUAAACGCUGGCGGCGUGCCUAACACAUGCAAGUCGAACGCCCUUUUGCGCAAGUGAGAGGGAGUGGCGGACGGGUGAGUACCACGUGGGUACCUACCUUGAGGUGAGGAAUACCACCGAGAAAUCGGUGACAAGACCGCAUACGCUUGGCAACAAGCAAAGUCUCGCAAGAGACGCCACAAGAUGGGCCUGCGCCUGAUUAGCUAGUUGGUGAGGUAAUGGCNCACCAAGGCGACGAUCAGUAGCUGGUCUGAGAGGAUGAUCAGCCACACUGGGAUUGAGAACGGCCCAGACUCCUACGGGGGGCGA
rnacentral:rRNA from 1 species